AGCUUGCAUGUGAUGGAGGCAGAAUUUGUCUUACUACUACUACUCCCCUUCUCUCAAAGUUCCUUACACAACUUGACCAAUGCACUGAGCAGCUCAUGAAAGUGUUGAAGAACAAAGGAGGCUCUGCAGGGAGCAAAAUCAGGAUCAUUAUGGCCCCAAUGACACAGGAAGCCGAUGCUACAGCUGUUGAGAGGGAGCUUGAGAAGUCACCUUUGGUAUCUACAGCAUCAAUGUUAAGGGAGGUGAUACCACCACUCCUCCAGCCGUUGUUGGAAUUGUGAUUGAGGGUGUUGAAGUUCUGCACGACUUGGGAGACUUUGCCUCUGCAUGUGCCCUCAGUUAUCCUAACGGACUAAAAGCCUUCUUUGAAGUACUUCAAAAGCUCUUCCUUCAAAUGGAUGCUUGCAGACUUUCAACCAAGGUACAGCUGCUCAAGAACUAACUGUACGAAUGAGACAAUCACUUAUGUGGAUGCUGAAUGUUCCAUAGAACAGGAGAAAUAUUUUGGGCCGAAACUGAAUAAAAUUAUUACCUGUUUGAAAAUAGAGCAGAGAAACUUCACUUGAGGAAAACAACCAAUUGUUUUGCAAACUUUUGAAAAACUUUUACCAUACAUGAAAAGUGGUAGUUGAGUGGCACUACUAGAGAAGUGAUGUAGAAUUGAGAGACCAUGCUGCG